rnacentral:rRNA from 1 species
UACGUAGGUGGCAAGCGUUGUUCGGAUUUACUGGGCGUAAAGGGCGCGUAGGCGGCUUAACAAGUCACUUGUGAAAUCUCCGGGCUUAACUCGGAACGGCCAAGUGAAACUGUCAAGCUAAAGUGCAGAAGGGGCAAUCGGAAUUCUUGGUGUAGCGGUGAAAUGCGUAGAUAUCAAGAGGAACACCUGAGGUGAAGACGGGUUGCUGGGCUGACACUGACGCUGAGGCGCGAAAGCCAGGGGAGCAAACGGG